CUUCUUAAGAAUAUCUUUGCUUAAGAUUUUUAUCUAAUUUAAGGAUAGCCUCAAAUGCAUUCAUUCUCAAAAGGUACUAUGUUUUAUACAUUUAUGAGGUUGUUUCAAAUAUGAAUCAUUAUUAUUAUUAUUAUAUUAAAACAAUGUAAUAUAAGUUACAUACUGUCCCGGUGUGGUGUGGGAGAGAAGCAUGUAAACAAAGAAGAUAAUGAUAUGAAGUUUUUAAUAAUCCACGUAAGGCUAAUCCAUAGAGAGAAGACAGAAACACAUGUACACAUCAACCUGACCGGACAACCAAACACUGAACAGAAUGCAACUUAUAAGGGGAAUGUACAUGAGGGUAAUUAACAAGGCACACCUGAACAUAAUGACACAAUCAACACGAGACAGAAACUAGGUAACACGGAGCACAUGAGGAAUGAAAACAGUCCUGGUUCUUCAGAAAACACCUUCAUUUAUUUCCAAAGUGAGACUUCUUUUUGUGAAUGUCUGGAAUCUCAAGAUGAAGAUUUGUGUGGUACAGCGGCCAAAGCUUGUAAAGCGGAAUUCGAUUUCACGUGUUCUGUGGAAAGUUCCUGACCUUGAAGAAUGAUUUUUCAUCUGUUGUCUGUCUUACUCCCACAAGCCUUCUCUCUCACUUACACUGCAACCUCCUGAGAGAAAGGAUGGGCUUUCAGGAAGCAAGAACCUAAAUGAAAGCACGAGGAAUGUUCUCCAGCAUGGGCGUCAUGUGGUGUGCGAUCCCGCAUACUUCCACGGAAGAUUUCUCAUUACAUCUCUGAGUACUGUGCCUGCCUAGUUUUGUUUCCUGGAAAUCUCAAUUUACCUUCUAAAGUAAACCAGGAUGGUGAUCUUUCUCAGACCUACUGCUUUUUAGACUUUGUUCAUAUGAAGUUCAGCACUUUGUAAAGACCGAGGAGGAAAUUCUUGGGAAUUUUGCUCCAAUUUCCUUGAUAUACAACUCUGGAGCGUUUGAGUGGGAGCCACAUUGUUGAUUUACUAAAAAAAAAAAGGAACAUGUCAACAUAUACCGUGUGGGUUCAAUGAAACUACUUGAAGUGCUUAUUUAAGCUUUUUUUCUUGCAUACACAGUCCUCAAUCCCUGUUCACCUCCUGAAUCAGUGCAGCCAGAACAGGGUCGUAUUUUAGGCAGUGCAUAAAAUCCAUUCUGCAGGCGUCUCGUAUAUUAAACAUCACUGAUCUCAGACCUGCAGGGUUGUGAGGUUUGGCUACUUUUGCCACACUCUGCGGGGCCUCAGCCUGGCGGUGAGGUCCGGGGUGUUAUCUUUGGAAAGUGUUGACAAGACUGAAACUCAGGAGCAGAGCGAAGUGUGUCUGUUCAGAAGACACACAGUUAGUAUUACAGACAAGCUUCCUGUGCACCAAUGCGGUGAAUAGUGAGAGACAGAGAGAAAGGGGCACAAAGAGCCACCAGGGAAAAGAGAAGAUGCAAAGUAGAUAAAAACAGACUGUAGUCAGACUAUACUGUACCAAGAAAAGGAGUUCUGUACUGUUAGCUUAAUGGACUUUAACAAGGCAGUUCACCUAAAAAAAAAAAAAAAAAUCUGCCAUUAUGAUCAUUAUAUUGUUCCAAACCGUUAUUCUGUUGUCUUUAUGUAGAAAGCAAAAUUAUUCAUUAUAAAGAAUCUGUAUGUAGCGCUUACCAUAAAAUUAUACUUCUUAGCUUUUCUCCUUAAAAAAAAAAAAAAAAAACCCUGUUCAAGUUAAGAAAGUGACUGAUUUACUAGUAUAAAAUAUUGAAUUUGUUGUAUUCUACAAUAUAACAGCCUUGUAUUAGGACGACGCUUUUAAUUUUUUCUUAAGAACAUCUACAUUAAAUAUUUAAGAACUUAAGAAAUUAAAUGUUUUUUUUAACAAAUUGCUCUUAGGAAUGUUCUUAUUAAGUUCUAAUAAUUUAUAAAAAAGACACUUAACUGUAAACAGAAUGUAAAUAUAUUGCACCAAUCAUACAGACUACUAUUAUGGUGUGUUUUUGUCAUUCUUGAAACUUUUUGAAUCAUUUAAACUUUUGUGCCCCACACAAAAAUUUGAGUAAAUUAUAGCUAAAUAUUUAUUUUGGUUAAACUCUCCUUUAAAACCAUAGAUUCACAGUUAUAAUUUCUUAUAUUUAUUUCUAUCCUAAUAAGUUCACAGUGUGUUUAGUCUGCCUCUCACAGCCAGCUGGUUUAAUCUGGUACCAGAGUAUAAAUGUUUUAUCAUUACUGGAGUUAAUCCCAGACUACAAACAUAAAGACAUCUUUUGUUUCUGCUUCUCACACCUUGUUGGUCCAACAGAUCACUUAACCAAACAGACAUCUCCCAGCACUCGGAGCUUUUCUCACAUGAACAUAAACUGUUUGCUGUUGAGUCUGGUUUUUAACAAAGAGCGAGAGAGAGCGAGGAGAGGAAGUGAGUGCCCUCCAUGUGGUGAUGUGGGAGCUGAAUGCAACCCAAGAGCCUGCAGUGAGGGCCUCAUUCUCUUAAUGCAGGAAUUCAUUCCUUUUUAUCCUCAUCUGUGUGUAGUUUUUUUUAUUACACCAGUUAUCCGGCUGGAAGGACCCCAAGGAUUUGGAUGCCCGAUAGAUAGUUUUUAUGGUUUUUGCAAGUUGUGUGGUGCAUGACAAAUUAGCACUUGGGUGAAGUGGAAAACUGUAUGGCCAUCCGUUUCUUUGAAACAGCAAGACGGAGGGUUCCGGCAACAUAAAGCAGUGUUCGGUCGAGGGGAAGUCUCUCAGCUUGACCAGAUUUUGUACAUAAUACAAGCUUGUCUUUACAGCUUGAAGGUUUUUAAAGGGAUAGUUCACCCAAAACUUACCUUUCUGACAUAAUUUACUCAUCGUCAUCUUACGUCAAACAUGAAAGAUAUUUAGAAGAAUGUUUUUUUCCAGACAAUGAAAUUCUAUGGGGUCCAAUCGAUGUUGAAAUUUUUUCUGAAACACUUUUCAAAAUGUCUUCUUUCAUGGAAGAAAUAUAUCUACAUAUUUAGCAAACACUUUUAUUCAAAGCAACUUACGGUGCAU